rnacentral:rRNA from 1 species
AUGCCGAUCGCCGAUCCUUCUUCUGCAAUACUCGCCUUCACAAACAAAUUCAAUCUCGCCUUGUCAGACACCAAUGGCCAGCUUCUCUGGAUGACAAACAUCAGUGCUACAGGAAAUUCAUCAUCAGAGGCAACUGGUGGAGAAGCCAUGCUUGAUAACAAUGGGAAUUUUAUCCUUCAGUCAUCAGAAGGCAUCAUCUUAUGGCAAAGCUUCGAUUACCCGACCGACACUCUCCUUCCAGGUAUGAACCUCAGGAUCACCCACAGGACGCAUGCACUACAACGGCUUAUCUCUUGGAGAAACCCCCAGGACCCAUCCCCGGGGAACUUCUCAUAUGGUGCAGACCCUGAUGAGUUUCUGCAGCGUUUUAUAUGGAAUGGCUCAACACCAUACCGGCGAAGUCCGGUAUGGAAUAACUUUUUGGUAGUCGGGCAGUAUAUCGAGAGUAUCAGGUCCACAAUUUACUUUACGCUGCAAACUAUUGAUGAUGAGGUAUACAUUUCCUUUGGACUACCAGCACCAAGUGUCUCCUCAUUGUUGCUUGUGAAGAUGGACUACUCAGGCAAGAUGAAGAUACGAACCUGGAAAAGCAACGUGUCCAAAUGGACUGACCUGCAGUCAGAACCUAACCAGGAAUGCAACAAAUUUGGUUACUGUGGUCCAUUUGGUUACUGUGAUAACACGCAGCCUAUUGUGACAUGCAAGUGUUUUGAUGGCUUUGAGCCAAACAACAAACAAGAAUGGACAGCCCACAGGUUUUCACAGGGAUGCCAUCGGAUGGAAGCACUAAGAUGUGGUCAAGGGGAUGGCUUCUUAAAUACGUCAAACAUGAAGGUUCCCGACCAGUUCGUUUUUGUCAAGAAUAGAAGCUUAGAUGAAUGCAUAGCAGAAUGCACCAGUAACUGCUCCUGCACGGCGUAUGCUUAUGCCAAUAUGAGCACCAAGUUUAUGAAUGGCGAUGAAACUAGGUGCCUAUUAUGGAUUGGAGAUUUGAUUGACACAGAGAAGCUAAUUGGACAAGGGGAAAACCUCUACAUCCGGAUUAAUGGAUUGAAUGAUAAAAAGCGGAAGAGCAUUGUUUUAAAAAUUACACUGCCAGUCGUGUCAAGUUUGCUCAUAGUCAUAUGUGCGUGGCUUGUUUGGAUCUGCAACUUGGGAGGCAAACAAAAAAACAAGAAAAAUUGGAAGAAGGUGAUGUCAGGAACUUCGAGCACUUCUGUUGAACUUCACGAUGGAAACUUAAAGUAUCCUUUUAUAAGCUUCAAAGAAAUUGUACUUGCAACAAACAAUUUCUCUAACUCCAACAUACUUGGACAUGGAGGUUUUGGCAAUGUUUACAAGGGGACAUUAGAAGAUGGUACAAAAAUUGCUGUGAAAAGGCUUAGUAAGGGUUCUGGCCAGGGGGUAAUAGAGUUCAGAAAUGAAGUAAUACUCAUUGCGAAGUUGCAGCACCAAAACUUGGUUAGACUUCUAGGUUUCUGCAUCCAUGGAGAUGAGAAACUAUUGAUAUAUGAAUACUUACCUAACAAGAGUCUAGACGCCAUGCUUUUCGAUGCCACAAGAAAAUCAAUGCUUGAUUGGCCGAUGAGAUUCGAGAUAAUCAAAGGGGUAGCUAGAGGACUUCUUUAUCUUCAUCAAGAUUCAAGGCUGAAGAUAAUUCACAGGGAUCUGAAAGCAAGCAACAUAUUACUAGAUGCCGAAAUGAGCCCUAAAAUAUCUGAUUUUGGUAUGGCAAGGAUAUUUGGCGGCAAUCAGCAGCAAGAAAAUACCGACCGCGUUGUUGGCACUGUUAGAAUUAUAAUAUAG